UACGUAGGGGGCAAGCGUUGUCCGGAAUUAUUGGGCGUAAAGGGUGCGUAGGCGGCGGGGCAAGUCUGAUGUGAAAUCCCGGGGCUCAACCCCGGAACUGCAUUGGAAACUGCUUGGCUUGAGUUCGGGAGAGGGAAGCGGAAUUCCGGGUGUAGCGGUGAAAUGCGUAGAUAUCCGGAGGAACACCGGUGGCGAAGGCGGCUUCCUGGACCGACACUGACGCUGAGGCGCGAAAGCUAGGGGAGCAAACGGG
rnacentral:rRNA from 1 species